rnacentral:lncRNA from 1 species
CCACAAGGCGCACGAAAUAAACGUGGAGUGACACCCGCCAGCGCUAGACUCCGGCCUUUGCGCUCCUGCAGGAUUUAGAACUGGAAUAGCAUGAUUAUAUGACUCCUAGUGUGGAUGAUUCUGGAACCAGUAACUCAUAGCAGUCUUGGCUGAUUAAUGGAGCAGAUAUUGGUGAAGACAACUCCGCGCAAAGUCACUCUUUUGCCUGGGGACCAGACCCCAACCCCUUACAACCAAGCAGAGGGCCCUAAUAAUUUGUUAUUUGAAACAGGUGAUAUGAUCUUCCUCCUCCCUUUUCACCAUCACAGAGCAGCUUUUACACAAAUAGCUUGGGGAUCACCACGUCCUUCUUCCACAGCCAAGGAGGAGAAAGUUCCUAGAAAGUUUAGCAUAGCAAUAUGUCAGAAGAGGCAUUCAAGGGGCCCAGAGUAAGGCACUCCUGGCUCCGAGAACACCUGGAAGACACACUUUGAGAGAAGUGCAAAGAAGUUUCUCUAAAUUUGAGUUUGCUUUUUAUUUGUAUUUGUCAUACAUUUUGAUAUACCCUAGGUGCAGGGGAACAUGACAGAUUUUCCCCCAAAAAAUUAUCACUUUUUUCAACCAUACAGAAAAUUUGAAAAAACAGUACGAUGAACAACCAUAUGUUCAACCCCACACAAAUUGUUAUUUUCCCAUAUUUGCUCUCGUUUCUUUGCUCCAAGUUUUUCUGCAUAGCCCCUGUCCUCCCAUCACUGUGCAGGUUACCACUAGCCUUUAUUUCUUGAGGGCUUCCUAUGUGCUGGGGGACCAGUAUGGACCAUCUCAUUAGAGCUAUACUUCCACCCUACUAAAUAGGCCCUAUUGAUAUUCCCAUUUUAUUUUUUUAUUUUGAGACGGAGUCUCACUCUGUCGCCCAGGCUGGAGUGCAGUGUUGCAAUUUCAGCUCACUGCAAGCUCCGCCUCCCGGGUUCACGCCAUUCUCCUGCCUCAGCCUCCCGAGUAGCUGGGACUACAGGCACCUGCCACUAUGCCCAGCUAAUUUUUUGUAUUUUUAGUAGAGAUGGGGUUUCACCGUGUUAGCCAGGAUGGUCUCGAUCUCUUGACCUCGUGAUCCGCCCGCCUUGGCCUCCCAAAGUGCUGGGAUUACAGGCGUGAGCCACCGCGCCCGGCCGAUAUUCCCAUUUUAUAGAUGAAACGUAGGCAUAGAUAUGUGACUUGCUUAAGGUCACCUGGCAAAUUGGAUACAGAACCCACUUACUGAAUCACUAUACUACCUUAUAACACGUAAACUUAAUCUCAUUUAAGCUUUUCAAUCUCAUUUAGACUGACAACAACCUUGAUAUCAAUUGUAGAGCUCAGAGAGGAUAUGAAAUUUGCUAGAGGUGACAGAGCUGAGAGAUUCAGUGCCUGCAUCAGAUUCGUAACAGUGAGACUGAAGACAAUAUGACAGGCGGAGUCAAAACUCCGGCAAGCCUCUGUCUCAUUUCUCAAUUUGGUUUUCUCAUCUGUAAAACGAUUCCUGUAACGUGACUGAGGUACAGACUGCGCUGGCUCUCCAGAUGUGUUCUCUAUAGUCCCUACUGAAUGGGGAGCACUGAGUAAAUAACUGCCACCUAUCUCAGGAAGAGGGUGUUUUGAGAAUUACCAGAAACCUGUAAGUGGGGGACAUUUAGCAGUGUGGCUAAGAGUGGGACUCUAGACUCAGAUCCCGGCUACUCCACUGUUGUUUAAUGGUUCUGUGCUCCAGCAUCCUCCUCUGAAAAAUGGGAUAAUAGACUCUGCUCCAUAGAGUUGCUGGAAGAAUGAAAUAAAUGCUGAACACAGUACUUAGGACAUACUUAAUGCUCAAUAUAGCCAUUAUGACUAUUAUGCCAGUUACUUUGGGCUCACAUGUCGUAGCAUGAACAGUUGGACCACGUGAUUGCAGGGUAAAUGGGCUCAACCUGCAAUGGCUGUGACCACAGUCAAAUCCUUGGUUUCCAACAUGCUCCAUUUGAACACGGGAUUUCUCAUGCCUGGAUAUGGCUUUCCCCCACUUCUGCUUGUGUGCCUGUGUGGUCCCCAAAGCUUCCCAGCCCCACAUCUGCCUCACCAGCAAGUGCAACCCUCUGGACAGCAUAGAGGUUCUAUUCGAGGGUCACAGGACCCAAGCCAUCAGGUAAGCCUGACUCCACUAAUCUCUGGAAUUCAGUAUCCAGGACCUCACCUGACCUGGUGUUUCCACAGAGAUCCCAAUUACAGAGUGGACCCAGAGGGAAGGGAAAAUCCCGCAAACGUUGCCAACCACCAUUCCUGAGCUGAAUUCACCUUCCCUCCCCGCAGACAGACACUUGCAGGAUUUAGACAAACCACAACUGUUUAUUGGUGAAAGACUCAGCUUCCUCAUGUGCUCGCUGCAAAAUAAAUAAAAUA